rnacentral:misc_RNA from 1 species
GGUGAUAUUAUUACUUGGGUAUGUAUCUAUUAGCCUGUUGUAGUACAAUAAAAAGAAAAUUGUGAUAUUUAAUUACAUAACUAAAAUAUAAUAAAAAGCUAGUUAAGAUACAAAACUAAGCAUUGAAGUAAAUGAGAAAAUAAAUGGUAUAAGUGAAAUACAAAUUCACAUGCAACUUGCAUCAAUCAUCCGUUAAACGAUUAAUAGUACAUUUUAUAUUUAAUUUAAAAAAAUAAAACUUGAGUAAAAUUUCAUAUUUGAUAUAAAUAUAUUUGAGUUUCUCAUUUGGUAUAAAUAUGACAUAACAAAUACUUCUUUUAUCAACAUCUUACAGGCAAAACGUCAAAUUAAAAGUGC